AACGUAGGGGGCGAGCGUUAUCCGGAAUUACUGGGCGUAAAGCGCGUGCAGGCGGCUUGGUAGGUUGGACGUGAAAGCUCCUGGCUUAACUGGGAGAGGCCGUUCAAAACCGCCAGGCUUGAGGACGGAAGAGGGGAGUGGAAUUCCCGGUGUAGUGGUGGAAUGCGUAGAUAUCGGGAGGAACACCUGUGGCGAAAGCGGCUCCCUAGUCCGUAUCUGACGCUCAGACGCGAAAGCGUGGGGAGCGAACGGG
rnacentral:rRNA from 1 species